GGGAUGCGUUCCAUUAGUUAGUUGGCGGGGUAACGGCCCACCAAGACGACGAUGGAUAGGGGUUCUGAGAGGAAGGUCCCCCACAUUGGAACUGAGACACGGUCCAAACUCCUACGGGAGGCAGCAGUGAGGAAUAUUGGUCAAUGGACGAGAGUCUGAACCAGCCAAGUAGCGUGAAGGAUGACUGCCCUAUGGGUUGUAAACUUCUUUUAUAUGGGAAUAAAACAGGGUAUGCAUACCCUCUUGUAUGUACCAUAUGAAUAAGGAUCGGCUAACUCCGUGCCAGCAGCCGCGGUAAUACGGAGGAUCCGAGCGUUAUCCGGAUUUAUUGGGUUUAAAGGGAGCGUAGGUGGAUUGUUAAGUCAGUUGUGAAAGUUUGCGGCUCAACCGUAAAAUUGCAGUUGAAACUGGCAGUCUUGAGUACAGUAGAGGUGGGCGGAAUUCGUGGUGUAGCGGUGAAAUGCUUAGAUAUCACGAAGAACUCCGAUUGCGAAGGCAGCUCACUAGACUGCAACUGACACUGAUGCUCGAAAGUGUGGGUAUCAAACAGGAUUAGAUACCCUGGUAGU
rnacentral:rRNA from 1 species